GAUGAACGCUGGCGGCGUGCCUAAUACAUGCAAGUCGAGCGAACAGACGAGGAGCUUGCUCCUCUGACGUUAGCGGCGGACGGGUGAGUAACACGUGGAUAACCUACCUAUAAUACUGGGAUAACUUCGGGAAACCGGAGCUAAUACCGGAUAAUAUAUUGAACCGCAUGGUUCAAUAGUGAAAGACGGUUUUGCUGUCACUUAUAGAUGGAUCCGCGCCGCAUUAGCUAGUUGGUAAGGUAACGGCUUACCAAGGCAACGAUGCGUAGCCGACUUGUGAGGGAGAUCGGCCGCACUGGAACUGAAGCACGCUCCAGACGCCUACGGGAGGCAGCAGUAGGGAAUCUUCCGCAAUGGGCGAAAGCCUGACGGGGCAACGGCGCGUGAGUGAUGAAGGUCUUCGGAUCGUAGACCUCUGUUAUUAUGAAAGAACUAAUGUGUAAGUAACUAUGCACGUCUUGACGGUACCGAAUCAGAAAGCCACGGCUAACUACGUG
rnacentral:rRNA from 1 species